UUUUCGUUCCGGGUACACUUUAAACAAUGAGAGACAACACGGUAACCCACUAACGGUCAUUUGUAAGGGAAGCGAAGCCUUGACAGAAGGAAGGGAAGAGUUUAUACAAGAAGACUGCCUCUUUUAAUAAAUCAUGCGAGACGAAGAACCGGAAAUGCAUCAUUGUGAUUAUGACGUCAUCUGUUGACAUCACGUGUCAUCUCUUAUCAACGAGGCUCAUGACUUCGGUCACGAUGUAUUUCGCUCUCACAUUUCCCUUGCUUCUUCAAAGUUUUCCUUCAAAAUAUUCCUCAGCUAUUGUCAUAGAUACAGUCAACAAGAUUAACGACGAGUCAGCCUCGGGUACAUGUACGUACAAUGUAUCAAGAAAAGACAAUGGUGACCAUACCGCCACGUUGAUCCGCCUAAACCACGUGGUCGGACCAUUUGAAAUGGACCUCUUCAGAUUUCGCAAUGGCAAAUAACGGAGCUAAGUCUGCCGAUGACAAUGUCCAGUAGUGCGUCACGUGCCUCCUCUGACGUCAACAUGGCAUCUAAGACUGCACCACGUUCCUCUAAAACCACUAUGGCAUGUGAGACUGCAUCAUGUGCCUCUGAUGCCAUUAUGGGCAUUUAAGACAGCACUUAUUGCCACUGUGACCGCUGUGAAGGUGAAACGUCGUCCAUGUUACAUGUACAUACCUAAAACCAGUACUACAUGUAUGAUCCAAUCGCCGACUCAGGUAUAUAUAUAUCUUUUAUUAUCUCAAUAGUUUUUCCGGGUUUGAUAAGAUUUAGUUUUCUUGUUAUUUUUCUCGCUUAAUUCUAUUAUAUUUUCCUGUCCUCCUUCCUUUCUAUGCUCGAAAGGCGAGUUUAGGUGUCUAAAGGUAUCGUCCGUUCUGAUAACAGA